GCGGCGGCUAUACAUGCAAGUCGAGCGGACAGAUGGGAGCUUGCUCCCUGAUGUUAGCGGCGGACGGGUGAGUAACACGUGGGUAACCUGCCUGUAAGACUGGGAUAACUCCGGGAAACCGGGGCUAAUACCGGAUGGUUGUUUGAACCGCAUGGUUCAAACAUAAAAGGUGGCUUCGGCUACCACUUACAGAUGGACCCGCGGCGCAUUAGCUAGUUGGUGAGGUAACGGCUCACCAAGGCAACGAUGCGUAGCCGACCUGAGAGGGUGAUCGGCCACACUGGGACUGAGACACGGCCCAGACUCCUACGGGAGGCAGCAGUAGGGAAUCUUCCGCAAUGGACGAAAGUCUGACGGAGCAACGCCGCGUGAGUGAUGAAGGUUUUCGGAUCGUAAAGCUCUGUUGUUAGGGAAGAACAAGUACCGUUCGAAUAGGGCGGUACCUUGACGGUACCUAACCAGAAAGCCACGGCUAACUACGUGCCAGCAGCCGCGGUAAUACGUAGGUGGCAAGCGUUGUCCGGAAUUAUUGGGCGUAAAGGGCUCGCAGGCGGUUUCUUAAGUCUGAUGUGAAAGCCCCCGGCUCAACCGGGGAGGGUCAUUGGAAACUGGGGAACUUGAGUGCAGAAGAGGAGAGUGGAAUUCCACGUGUAGCGGUGAAAUGCGUAGAGAUGUGGAGGAACACCAGUGGCGAAGGCGACUCUCUGGUCUGUAACUGACGCUGAGGAGC
rnacentral:rRNA from 1 species